UGAGAAAAAAUCUAUGAUAUUAUUACCCUGAAGCUGAAUGAGAUUCAUGGAGAAAAUCAAUUAUUUUUAUUGUAAUACAGAAUAAAGAUGAAGAUAAAAGUGUUACCCAGACGAUAAAAGUUAUUGAAACAGUAAUGAUAAGUUGAAAACUUCCGGAGGAAAUGUUUCCACUGUGUGACCAUGUUAUCAUUUCUAUCAGGAAAAUGGACUUACAAAGGCUGAAAGUAAAAAACAACAGCAACAAAGUGAAUGGUCAACUUAUCUCAAUGUGAUUUUACAUAAUCUUUACCUUGUUAAUGACAUUGGAGCUAAAAUGUGUUAUCUUUGGCUUUAUAAUCAUUGUGGUUACAAUUAUGAGAUAAUCUUGAGUGAAAAAAGGGUCGAUAAGACGUUGUACCGACGUCAAAUUAAAUAAAACGGAUAACCAAUCAAGAUGCAAAUUGACAUGAAAACGGGCACCGAGAAUGUAAUAAGAUGCAUUGGAUGGGAGCAUAUUUGUGUAUAUCUUGCUUUAAGGCUUGAAUAUUUAUAUUUUUAAGAGGAACCUGUUAAAAUUGAUUACAUAUCAUUGGUCGUUAUCGUUGUCCAAAUGUUGGCCUCAUGGUUAAUCCCAAAAUCCAGUUUUCCAGCACUUUUUUAUUUUCUUACUGAUAAAAGUAAAUUUUCACUGAAAGUUUCUCGUUGUUUCUUUAUACUUUUCAUCUUCUUAUUAUUAAUACAAUUUACCUACA